ACUGGAAAAGUCUCCGAAUUGGGCCGAGAUUUUGCCUACCCCCCAUUGUCAGACGUCCCGAGCGCGUCCCCGAAGUCGGAAUCGGCAAAGGUGAGCCGGGACAGCCUUCUUCCUCCGCCCAGCCACCACAGUGAUUUGUCGUCAAGUCUGCCACAGGAGGAUAUUUUUUUGAGGUUAACCUGCUUUCUCCCUCGCAGGUCGAUUACUACUGUUUGUAUAAACUUGUUAAAUCUUAGAAUUUCCGCAUGUGUUAGAAAUGUUUAUUUGAUUUGGGUCUGUAAACUAAAUUAUUAUUUUUGGACCUGUAAACUUAAAUGUGCUAUGCAUGUUUGAUGGAUUGGAUGAGGGAGCUGAGCUCCCAUUUAUUUUAUGUUGAUGAGUAUGUGGAGGGUGAGCUGAGCUCCCCAAUUGACUA